ACAGCAGCAUUAACGUUCUCCUCUUAUGAAUACAAAAGCGUUUAAUAAUGUGCACUGGUGGAACAUCUACUGUAGGAACAUGUGGCUGUGCCGUUGACUCGACCUGUCGAUGCCGUAGACGUAGACGACGGCGAUGAUCUCGCAGAAGGCGAUCACCAGCAGGGGGAUGGAGCCAGCGAAGCCGUCGAACAGGGCCAGCCAGUAGUUCCCCGAGGACUGGACGAACACCAGCGCCGUCACGAACGACACUGCACACGUCAGCCCUGCACACACGACAUGAUGAGCGACACUGCAGUGUUCAGAUGGCCUUAUGGGUCAUUAGACCUCCUUUUCCAUUAGCCUUCAAACUGCGCAAGUGAGGUGGUGGCAAGUGAGGUCGAGGGGUUACCGGUGAACACUUCUUUGGGCCACUUCUUAGGGAGGAUGUUGAGGUCCUGGAGCGGCACCACGACACCCUCGAUGUUCCCGAACAUGGUGGACAGUCCCAGACAGAAGAGCAUGAUGAAGAACAGCACGGACCAGAUCGGAGAGACGGGCAUCUUGGUGAUGGCCUCGGUGAACACGAUGAAGGCCAAGCCGGUUCCCUCGACGCCCUG